UCCCAGGUGGCUUAGUGGUAAAGAAUCUGCCUGCAGUGCAGAAGACUCGGGUUCAAUUCCUGCAUCAGGAA
rnacentral:tRNA from 1 species